UCAUGGCCCUGGCUCAGGCA
rnacentral:misc_RNA from 1 species